UUUUUAAAAAUAUCCUUUUCAGCUUUAAAAUAGAAGAAGACUUAUGAUUUGAAGAAUGGUUUCCUUUUGCAGCCACUCUGACUCUUCUCAAAGCAACAUUGGACAUCUAGAAGAAACCAGACUUAUAGGACAGGCAUCCUGCCUCUUAGAAGAGAACAGAAGAUUUCCUCCUGAUUUAACAAUGCUAAAGUUUAUCCUGCCUAAUGUAUUUACUCCGUAAAGAGAAAACUCACUUGAACAAAAUAUUUUAUUUCUUAUUUGGUCUUAAACCCACAAAGUUUAUUACUGGAGCCUUAUUACUUUCCCUGUUGUACUGGAAAGGCUGCUCUCUCUGCUGAAGGCUAUGCUCUCCUGAAAUCCUCAACCCUGUAAUGAAUCUGGCAUCUGAUAAGGCACAGAAACCCUCCUGUCAACUUUAAGACAAGGCAGAUGGGACUCCUUACAAUCAAGCAAAGGAGAGCCCCCUCUUUAGCAUGAGUUCAUUGAAUUUGACAUCUCCAGAUCUAAAGAGUCUAGUUGACAGGGUCUAAUUUUCUUGGUGGCGGAUCCAAAUUCUCUCAGUUGAUGCCUUGCAAAACUGUAAGAAAGCACAAGCAUGGCCACUUUUAAGAAGGGUGUUGCAAAAUGUCUCUCCUUUUUAUAAACUUUUACAACUGACUGAUUUUAUAUUCUAGCUGAGGGGCAGCAAAAAAGUAGUUUUUUCCCUUUCUUACUGGGAUGCUGAAUGUUUCAUUCUGUGGAUAGCUCUGACACAAUAGAGAUGAGCAUCAGAUAAAUAAAACCAAGGACAUAACACUGGGCUGAAAAUAGAAGACUAAUUUAGCAAAGUGUAUUAUUAGAGUUGCCAUUUUUGUAGCUGACCUCUUUGGAGAAAAACAAUACUCUUUACAUCUGCACAGGCUUAAAGAUAAAUACCCCUUUUUAAUUAAUUAAAUUUAAUUAAAUCCAGGACCUUUGUCAGGGUAUGCCAGUAAAUGAGAAUAAAUCCUACUUUUAAUAAUGAAGGGUGCUCCUAAACCUGUUGCAAGCAUACUGCUGACACUAAUUAAUACAGCUGUCCUACAAUGUCAAGCUUGGGACGGGAAUUGCAGGAAGGGGGAUAUUACAAGUGGGCAAGACUCCAGUUUAAAAUUUUCAGUAUCUAUAAAGAUAAAGAUUCAUAUGAGAAGUUACAACUUUGGUUUUACUGUCAAUUGUUUUGGGGAAAGGCAGGGUUAUUUUUUGUUUUAAUUGUAUCUAAUUGUUUUUGUUUAUUUUCAAUAACACAUUGGUUGGAAGUUAGAUUUGUAUGGAGAGAAGAAUCCCAUGAACUACAGCCCAUAUUUAUAGCUUUGAAGAGCAAUUUCUCUGCUGCCCUGCGCUGCUGCAGCAGGAUUAUUAUACCUGCAUCAGCUGGUAUUACACACUGAUGAGUAACAGCUCUUUGGUGCAUUAACCUUAACUCCAGGACAUUCAUGAAAACAAUUUUGGGUUGUCAGAUCCUACCAGAAGCAUUACAACUGUAAUCUAUAUUAUAGCUGGUAUUCAAUAUUUUAUUAGAAUGGAAGAUGGUAUAUUUUAUCACUCUAAAAUGAAUAAUUUUUGCAAUUCAAUGUUUGAAUCAUUAAACAAUGUUUCUAUAAACAGAGAUAUAUGUAUCCAAUAAAGAUCAUCAAACAUGGAGCUCUAUAGACACUCAAAUAUUUCAGUUUGGGGCAUAAAAUGUUUUAAAGCAAUAAAACUGAAAUCUAUGCUCUUUUUCUUUUUCCUCAAGGGAUUUUAAAGUUGUUUUUCCUUCCUGACUGCAAGUGUUUGAGGUUGAAAAGGUAACAUUUGGUCAAGCCAAAGACAAAAAGCAGGAGCAACCAAGCUUCAAACUCAUGGAUUAUGUGGGACCAUUUGCAUCAGUUUUUUAGUUUUCCAAUAAUUUUAUUCAUCAAAACUUAGGGGGAAAAAAAGCCAUACUAACAUUUAGAGGCUUUUUGGUUACAAGUUUGGGUUAAGCUACUACAAAAUGGAAUAUUACUUAACUAUCUGAAAGCUUCCAGGUUGACAAAAUUAGUUCUGCAAUAUUGAGAAAUACAGGGAAUGUAUUUCUAUGUCAAAAAUCCACAGGAAUUGUAGAUGAUUCACAAUGUCACAGGACUUGGAUUGAAAUUACAUUACGAAAAGCAGAAGGGAAAAAGUGAGUUUUUUCACAUCUACAGCUGCUGUAAUAUUAUUGUGGAAAGAACUAGACAUACAGAAGAAGAUUGCUGAAAGACCACAUGUUGAAGUCCCUUUUAAAUUCAUGCCACAAUAGCUUCUGCCAAGACUCUCUUGGAAAGCAGCAGAAGUUCCCUAUGGUGACCGCAAAUAGGAUGCAAGAUGAAAAAAAAUUAUUUGAUAAUACCAUGAGCAAAACAUAAAUAAAACUCAAAUAUGUUGUUUCUUUUAUAUGUCACAAGGUCUUUAAUAUUCACAGGAAGUUGCUUUGGCAUUCAGGACUCUCAUUUCCAUUCAGGGGAAAGUGAAGAAAUCAGAGCAAUUUCAUAAAUAAAAAUACUGUUCUAUGUGAGGGAGAGGUGCAAGUGAUGCAUUCAAAAGGUCAUCCAAAGUGGAGGUUAAGACCUUGAAAGUGAAUGUGCCACAGACCUCUGUGAAGGUCAAAUUCUGCUUAUUAUCCUGAUUCACAGCUUCAAAGUUCAGAAACAUAAACAUCUAAAUUCAGACAUGCCUGCUUGACAAUGAUCUGCUUUCCAGAGGUCCUGGUGACCCAAUUUAGCCAAUACUACAAGGUAAUAGUUUGCUCUGGUAAAGUAUUUUUCUCUGUGUGUGGCAUCUGUCUCAUAUUUGCUUGCUGAGGUGGUGACAGUGCCAGAAAUUUCUCCUCUACCUAUCCACAGAUAAUCCUUUAAAACAUUGAUACAAUGGAUUGUCUAAGACUUCCUUGAGUUGGUUUUCCAAAGGCUUAACAGAUUUCAUGGCAUUUUGCACUGAAGACACUACCACUUAUCUGUAGAAAACAGAAGAAAGCUGGGAUGAACAUUACACUUACAGUGUCUAAAAACUGAUAGAGUGAGCAAAGAAAUCAAGUUAUUUUAUAUGUUAAGUAUACAUGCCAAAGUUGUGUAUCAAAUGGUAUCAAAGAUUUGGAAUCCUAAAUCACCUCCACCUGAAGGAUGAAACUGCUGUAAUUUGUAUUUGGAAAAACCCAGUGAGAUUAACUACUUGUGGAUCUCAUGGCCAGUAGCAGAGACAGCUUCAUUAUUUCAUUCCUCAGGCUGUGAAUUUCACUGUGUUUGCCUGAACACCUCAACAGCCCAGAUCAUAUCCUUUCCAUUUGCAGACUUUUUCCCUAGCAGAGAAAGCAUUAAAACCUGAACCCUGGGAAGAGUCUUGCUCCUGGCUGUGAGUGGAAAUGUGGGAGACAAGGUAUCCAUUGAGGCUGUUCUGCUCCUGGGACCCUCACUGGGGUGUUUGGGACAGAACCUCACAGUACAGCAUCACACACUUCCCUUUCCUGGGUUGUUUCCUCUGUCUGAUUGCCCCUCACAGAAAAGCAAAAGGUUUCUCUAGCUAUUUUGUUAUAAAUGGCAGUUGAAAACUUAUUUGAUUAUUUUAUUUAGCAGUACAAAUUUCUAAUUAUACACAACAUGCCAGAGCUUUGCAGAUACUGUGAGUAGUUUUGUUGGUUUGUUAUCCUGCUUUUAUUUUCUGUUGCUAUCAUUGCAGAAUCACCCUUUCAGAGACUUUAUCUGUCUUAAUAUGUAUUGAAAUUAAAUGCUCUCAGUGUAAAAUUUCCCUCUGGAACCAAAAUACAAAUUCAUGCUGGUUACAGUGGAGGCAAUUCCAGUGACUUCAGUGAUCCUGUAUGCAUUUGUGGGAGCUCAAAAUAAAUCUGGCCCAUUAACAUCAGGAGCAAUAUAAUUUUAAUUUCUACAGAGCUGCUUUUCACCCAGAUGUUUUUUGGGAUGGUUUAUAUAUUUGCUUAUGGUCUAAAUGUAAUUGUACAUGUUGCUGUGGUUUUGCUGUAUAAUCUUGGGCAAAUCCACACUGAUUCCCCAAGCUUUGUUUUGUUCUUUUUAUUUCUUUACUGCGCAGGGUGGUGAAGAGAGAAAUUGUUUUACAAAUUGUGAAUAAUUCCUUGAGGGAGGUCAUGCAAAUUCUUUAAAUAUGUUAUGACUUUUGUAACAGCAAUGUAUAAUUUACACUAAUGGUAUGUAUUACUAACCUCUUCCAUACAGAAACACAACUAAAUCCCACAGCAUUCCACAAUGGAACACAGCCGUGCUUUCAGAUUAAUGGAAAUGUUAUCAGUGUCAAACAAUUACAUUAAUUCUAUAUAUUUUGCCAGUUUAUUUCAAAGAUUAAGCAGAAGUGGUAGUGUGAGGCUAAAUUGCUCUGGAACUUCAGGUGACUUUGCACCCAAGGUUGAAAACUGAUUUAAACUUUGCAACUGCCCCUGCCUUAACAACCAGUCAAAGGGAAAUGCCAGAUCCGCUUUCACCUCUCCCCCCAUACAAUUGUACACCUCAGUACCAGGCAGGAAACUUGCAAGCAUUUUUUAAUUGUUUAUGUGAGGAAAUCUUGUCCAAAAUAUUUUUUCUCCUUCAUGCAUUAUGCUUUUGGAACUCCUUAGUGUUUACAUUGUCAUCCUGAGCAUGAUAUUCCAGAAGAAUGAUAUCAUUAUUUAUACUUUGCCUUCAGAAAUCUGUUUAAUAUAAUUGUGACUUUUUCAGUUUAAGGUAAACAUCAGCAUUUGAUGAAAGCUCAGUCCUUUACCUCCUCCCUUGGUAGCUGUUUGUUAAGGUCUGCUAUGGCGCAGCAGUCAAAUUAAGAAAGUGGUGUUAUUUCAACAAAGCCAGAGACCUUCUUUUGCUUGUAAAUAUUAGUACAUCCUGCAAGCACUGGUGAGUGCUGCCAGCCAUCCUGUCACUUAAACAGAGUCAAGACUGAUGGAGGCCAAGUUUCUGUCAAGAUCUGAAACUCAAUGCAUUAGCUCAGGAGCUCAGUGUAGGCAUGCAUACAUUUUUAUUUUCACAUCUACUCUUUUUAUGUCAACAAACUUUAUGGGUGCUGGUUUCUGUCACACUCCAAAAUAAUUAACCAUGAAAGAAACAUUUUAUUUAAUGUUUUAAGAAGUCAGGAUUUGGUAACAGACUAAAAAAAGCCAGAUCACGAGCUGACAUCACGUAAAACAGCCAAGUGGCAGGACAUUUAAUAGAUGGGUGGCCCAGAAAGCCACAGAAAAUGUAUAUAUGUAACACCUAAAUUAGGGCUAUCAUGAAGAUUCAGAUGUGUUACAGACACUCUUCCUUCACACAAAACAGGUAGGAUGAAAUACUGAAACCUCACGAAUCAACAAUAAGCAAAUGGUGAUUUACAAGUGUGUUACUGUGUACAUACUGUUGUUAAUGUAAGUGAUGGUUCAUAAAUAUGCUGCCAAGAAUUGGUGGGUUUGAUUAACUUUCUGUGAUCAGGGUGAGCAUGUUGAUUUUGCUGUAAAUAGCAAAAAAGAAUUUUAUAAUAUAAAUCUGGACAAAUUCCCUCUUUUAGGACUCCACUGUUUUCAGAUAUGUUCAGCUCACACAAUACUUUUUCUCAUGAUAUUCUACUCUCUUCUCAGUCCUCACUGUCCUCCUAACUUUUCUUCUUCCCUGCUCUUGGCUUUGCCCCUUGCACUACAUCAAAAGAACUCUAUCUCUCCAUCUACAGAAUAUUUCAUUUCUUCUCUUUGAUCUCUGAUGCUUUUCUUGUUGAUUGCUUUGCUUGUCCUAUUAAUUGGGAGCUUUCUUUGCUGUCUAUGCCUCCAUACAAAUUUAGCUAGCUGAAGAAAAAAUAAUUCUAGACAUAUAGAUCCUUCAGGAAUAAUUCAUAGAAAUAUCUGGUGGCCUAUGGACUCAAAAUCAGUUUAAAUCCACAGUCUUGAUUAUUCCUCUAUGUCUGUAACACCAUGAAAAUAAAAGGCCUGGAUUAAUCUAGACAUUUUAUUCUCAUAAAAAGUAUUUCUAAAUCCAGAAAAUACUAAUUUUUUUUUUUUUAUAGAAUACCAGGCUCUUUGAAGUAAGCUUGUGGCUAAAAAAUAAACCAUUUUUGAACACACAGCACACCCCUACUCCAGAAGACGGUCAGCUGAAUACCUGGCCUGGCUUGAAUAUUAGAUUGCAUUGAAAGAGGGAAAAAACUCCAUUCAUCUAAUGAAAAACCAUGUUUAAAAGGAAAGUGUUUUGAUGAUACAAGUUUUAGAACAGCUGCUGAUGCUCUGAGGUUUGAAUCACAGCAGCUUUGCUUAUCUGGUGACAUGCACAAUAUGGGCCAAAUAUCUCCAAACCACCAGGAAAGCCUGCCCUUACUUUUGAUGUUUAAUGCAACACAGAUAAAUAAAUUUGGAAAUAAUACAAUUGGAAAAACAAUAGGGAACUGAAAAUAGGGAUUUUUUUGUUUCCCAAGUCCUUUAAACAUGUAUGCAGGGGGUUCUGCUCAUGAUGUUGGGAGUGACCCAGGAAAAUUAGAGAGACCAGUCACAUGUUAAAGUUGAGCACACGCAGAAUUGUUUGCUAGAACAAGGCCUUAAUAACAAAGACUAAUAAAAAAAUAAUCCUCUCCCAUAUAUGGAGAAUUCCCCUGGGAUCUGCGACUCCCAGCUAUCCUUUUUAAAUUGCAUGAUUAACAGUGUGCUUCUAAUUACUAACUAAUCAAAUCAAGUCUUUCUGCACAUAAAUAGGAGUCUGGGACUUUUAAUAAGGUCUUCACUGCAUGAUUGCUCAUAGAAUAGCAAUUAGUUUGGUUUCUGCUCCCAUUGAUAAAAGUGGCAGUAGUGUGGAACAAAACUGAUUGUGUACCCACCAGGUCAUAAACAAAGUUUCUGGGAGGUGGCUUUGAUGAGGUGAGGGGGAAGGACUUGAAGGCCUCCAAUGAAGACAUGGGCUUUUACUUUCAUGUCAUUCUUUGAUUUGUCUUUUUUAAUGGCAUACCCAGAUGUGAUGCCUUCUGCUUUUAUAAAGCUAAAGGAAGUAUUUGCUUGACUGUUGUUAUCAACAAGGCAAGAAAUUGUGCCAGUGCCAUUCAGUGAGUGGCUAGAAUACAUGUCAAGAGUUACAAAAAAUAUCCAAAUGUUAAGUUUUUCCCUUAUGCAAUGAAACUAUAAUUCAGGAAUAUAACUAUCAUCAGAUAGACUUUGGAUAGUUUCCUCUAUAGUCCAUGUUUUUUUGACAGUCCAAUUAAUUUAAAUUUGCAAUGAAAAAACUUGGUUUUAUCUGCAAGGAAAAAACAGAAAAAACAGAAAGAACACUUUUUUUUUUUUUUUUCCUUGUCCUAUGCAGCUGAUCUCCCUUGAUUGAGAAAAAAACUUGAACAAAAGUUUGUUUAGCAAAUUAUUCUUACAAAAAAGCCUCAGAUCAACAAUCACUCCUCCUCAACAAUCACUCUUUGGAAAAAAAAAUAAGCCAUCACUAAGCUACCCUGAUUUUCUUAUUUCACAAAUGCUUCCUUGCUUUGUUUUUUUUUCUCCUCAUCUUCCUAUGACAAAUAUUCCACAGUAGGCAGAUUCCUGACCUGUAAUACCGAAUGCUGCUAAAAGAAACAUUGCUGUCAGAUGCCCGCAUCAAAUCCAAUAAGCCACAUCCAGCUUCAUGUUGACAGUUGCAUUUUUUUCCUAAUGCAUAUUUUAGCCAUGCUUGACCAUCAACCAUAUGGCAGGUUUGUCCUGUGGGUAAGUUUAUUAUUAACAGCUUGCAGCUGGAGGUACAAUAACUACAUGUAACUGUGACAUUGCACUAAUUGAUCAAGACAUCUCCAAAACAAGAUGCAGAAAGUGGCCUCAGCAAAGAGCUUCAGAAUAAUGAUUGGGGAACAUUAAGCAAACAAACACCUCUGUCAUGCACAAAGUAUCUUAAAAGCUAGGGGGUUCAGUAAAAGGAAUUAAUUUCAAACAAGCAUCUUUUGAUGAGAAAAAGACAUUAUUUAAGCCUGCCCACCAGAAGCUCAGACAAUUAAAUCACUGAAUCUGCUGGGUGCCUUUAGUCCAUGCUUUCUCUUCUAAUCCUGCUGUCAUAGCAGAGAGUGACUGAGGUUUAAGAGCAGCAUGUGUAACUUAAUCCAUCACUUCACAUUAAGGUCAGAGUGUUAGAUUUUUGAUGAGAGGGAGGAAAAGUGACCUUAUUAGGCAUUAGGUAGAAGUUAGCUGGCUACUGUUCAGAGGUAACUAGUAAAUAAACUGCAGAAUGUGAGUUGCUUUCCUUAUAUAUGUCUCCUGGUAAAUUUAUUUUUCAGAUGUUUUUUGCCAAGCUUGAUCAACUGAUUUUGAAUUGAAUGGAACAUAUAAUGAAUUCAGUGGUUUAGUGUUGUAUCUUUGUAAACUGAAGCUGUCAAACUUUAAAAAGUGCUCUCUAGUGUAUAGUACUUGUCAAACAACCUGCAGACUUCAAGGUUUAAAAGAGAAAGCUCUCCAAACUCCUAACUUAAUGAAGUUUAAGCAGGAAUGUAAAUUGUGUGUGAGGAAGAAAAUAUGAUGACUCCAUGCAAAGUAUCAGAUAACUAGCACUAGGCUUCAACUGGAGCAAAAAUUAAAAUUUCUUUUUUGGCGUGUCAAGGCUGCAAAGCGUAUUUUGCAAAUUCCUUGUCAGUUAAGCUGAUUGGAGAAAGCAUGAACAAAACAGUCUCACUUGGUGCUCUCUUGGCUUAAUGCUCGGAGGGAGGUGAACUGUAAUGACAGCAUGGUGAGUUUUUCAUGAAGAGCAUUUUGUGCACUGUGUCUAGGUCUUCACAAAUGCUGACAAAAUAGACUUCAGUUUGCACUUUGUGAUCCACUGUUUGCAGAUCCAUGGCAAACACAUUGUACAAGCAAGGCUUAUGGUUUGUGCACAAGCUGAUCCCUGUGAGUAGGCACCUGGCUAUUUCUGUUUGCAGUAGAAUAGGUGAAUUUAAUCACAUGGUGUCUUUUUCCUUCUCUAUUUGUAUGAUAUAACUCCUGUGAACAGCUGGAGGGCUGACUUGUUGGUUGUAAUUCUCCUGCAGAACAAUGGGAGAGCCUGAAUUUUGGUAUGGUCUUCCUGAAAUUAAAUUUCUGUGAGGAACAUCUCAGUUUGAAAGGGUCAUCACUGAUCUUAACAGAAGGGUGUAGCAUAAGAAUGCCUGCUCCCGAAAGAAGUUUCCAAUGCAGAUUAUGAUUUUCCCAUAAAGUACCUCUAAAGCUUUUCUGUGCAGACAUCUUCUAAGGGAAGGUGAAUUAUGAACAUGAUUAAAUUGCACACUGGAUGUUAUAGAUGUUAUAUAAGUAGAAGACGUCAGGAUGAUAAUUUAUUAUUAUUAAUAAUAAUAAUUUUCCCCUAGCAGAAAGUGAUUGUGUGAUCCAGCAGCUGUGAAUCUUAGUUGAUUUUGGUCUAUAGGUGCUUUUCAGCCUUGGGUGCCUCACUAGGGGCUGUGUGUACAUCUUUGAAUUAGUAAAUAUCCAAGUCUAAUGGAAGACAUCUGAGAUUUUGUAUGCAGUUAGUUUGCUAACAUCCUUGCAUACACUAUUUUUGUCUCAUGAACUUACACUAGGUCUGCACAAGCUUAGCUGGUGAAAUGUUUUUUCUUUAAAACCAGAGAAAAUAUUUCACAGGAGGAGAUAGACAAAUCUCUAAUCCAUAUAAUACCAGUCAACAGUCUCACGAAAGACAGGGCAAGGAAAAUUCUUAUGUAUUUUUCUGCAUGGGAGGAAUAAAGUGCAAUA